rnacentral:rRNA from 1 species
AAAUUGAAGAGUUUGAUCAUGGCUCAGAUUGAACGCUGGCGGCAGGCCUAACACAUGCAAGUCGAACGGUAACAGGAAACAGCUUGCUGUUUCGCUGACGAGUGGCGGACGGGUGAGUAAUGUCUGGGAAACUGCCCGAUGGAGGGGGAUAACUACUGGAAACGGUAGCUAAUACCGCAUAACGUCGCAAGACCAAAGAGGGGGACCUUCGGGCCUCUUGCUAUCGGAUGUGCCCAGAUGGGAUUAGCUAGUAGGUGGGGUAACGGCUCACCUAGGCGACGAUCCCUAGCUGGUCUGAGAGGAUGACCAGCCACACUGGAACUGAGACACGGUCCAGACUCCUACGGGAGGCAGCAGUGGGGAAUAUUGCACAAUGGGCGCAAGCCUGAUGCAGCCAUGCCGCGUGUAUGAAGAAGGCCUUCGGGUUGUAAAGUACUUUCAGCGGGGAGGAAGGGAGUAAAGUUAAUACCUUUACUCAUUGACGUUACCCGCAGAAGAAGCACCGGCUAACUCCGUGCCAGCAGCCGCGGUAAUACGGAGGGUGCAAGCGUUAAUCGGAAUUACUGGGCGUAAAGCGCACGCAGGCGGUUUGUUAAG